UGGGUAACCUGCCUCAAAGAGGGGAAUAACCUCCCGAAAGGGAGAUUAAUACCGCAUAAUAUGUUUAGGUCGCAUGACUUUAACAUCAAAGGAUUUUCUUUUAGAAAUUCCACUUUGAGAUGGACCCGCGGCGCAUUAGCUAGUUGGUGAGGUAACGGCUCACCAAGGCAACGAUGCGUAGCCGACCUGAGAGGGUNAUCGGCCACAUUGGAACUGAGACACGGUCCAGACUCCGUACGGGAGCAG
rnacentral:rRNA from 1 species